GACCCAUUACUUAUAGUUUAAGAAAAAUAGACCAAAACACAAAAACUUAACACUGUGCAAUGAACCGUGAAAAUGAGGUCACCGUCAAAUAAAACCUGCGCGACUGACAUAAAGAUCAUAAAAUAUUUCCAUACACCAAAUAUAGUUGACCUAUGGCAUACAGUAUUAGAUAAAAAGACCAAAACUCAAAAACUUAACUUUGACCACUGAACCAUGAAAAUGAGGUCAAGGUCACAUGACAUCUGCCCGCUAGACAUGUACACCUUACCAUCAUUCCAUACAACAAAUAUAGUAGACCUAUUGCAUAUAGUAUGAGAAAAACAGAC
rnacentral:lncRNA from 1 species